AUUUUAAGUCUAUAUGGAAAUAGAUUGAAAGAGAUAAUUAACAUUGAAGAGCUCAAUCAUCUAAUAAGUUUGGAGGACUUGGGUUUAUGAAAUAAUGCAACUGAAGGCUUGUAUCUUGAAAUGAAUUGGGCAAAAGCAAGCCAGUGGCAUUGGACUUGAGUGGCAAUAACAUUACAGAAUUUGUAUACACAAGAGGU